CUGAGGCUGCUGUCAUCAGUAGCACAGUAAUAGUCGGCCUCGUCCUCAGCCUGGGCCCCUGUGAUGGUGAGGGCGGCUUUGUUCCCAGAGAUGGAUCCAGAGAAGCGAUUAGGGACCCCAGAGGCA